UAAAAAGCAAGCGUUGAGAUAUUCAAAAAUAACAGAUUGUAUAAAUUGGGAGACAUAAAUUCAGUUCUAGUCUUUUAUGGAAGUAGUUAACAUCCCAAAACAAAAAAUUAACAAUCAAAAUACGAGCAGUUCAAUAGAAAAAAGCUAAUCGAAAAUUUUAUAUAUUUAUUUUUUACGAUAUUCAAUUGAGAACAUGUUGAAGCGGACUGGACACAAAUCGCAUGAAAAACGGGAAAAUGUGGAGGCCACUUUACUGGUAAAUCGUGAUUAUGGAUUCAUGAAGACCACCAAUACGGGCUCACCGUUACCAAAGAAAACGAAUCCCUUCGAUCCACAAAUGCUGAUCGACCGUCAGCAAGGUGCCCAACGGAGAUCAGUUUCCUCGAUUUCUGAAUCGCGGCCAACGACUUCUAGUGACUCUUCAUUCGAGAAACUAGCACAAAACCCUUUUCGCAAAUCGGAAAUGACGUUUGAAAUGAAGCGAAAGCUGUUCGAAGGGUAAAAAAUGAUACAUAUCGCUCAUUUUCUUGCCGCGCCUUAUGGCGAAUUCACCAAAUGGGAAAUUUACCAUAACGCGCGGCAAGAAAAUGAGCGGUAUUUAUCAUUUUUUACUCAUCGAACAGCUUUCGUUUCAUUUCAAACGUCAUUUCCGGAUUGCGAAAAGGGUUUUGUGCUAGUUUCUCGAAUGAAGAGUUACUAGAAGCGUUGUCAUCGAUUCAUCUUCCCAAUGUUGAACAUAAGCUGCCCAAGUAUUCCAAGCGAGACUCUCAGCAGCAUGCCUUGCAAGAGAUGGAGGAGUUCUGUCGUGCCAUGAACAUCAAGAUAAGCAAGGACUUCUACAAUUAGAUACAAAUAUAACACUUUCUACACCACAAUACACACAUCGGUCUUACACACAUAUGUACAUAUAUAUUUAUACAUAUUUUCUGAGUCAAUAAACAGCUGGAAACUA